CAGCAGCAGCCGCGGUAAUACGUAGGUGGCAAGCGUUGUCCGGAAUUAUUGGGCGUAAAGGGCUCGCAGGCGGUUUCUUAAGUCUGAUGUGAAAGCCCCCGGCUCAACCGGGGAGGGUCAUUGGAAACUGGGAAACUUGAGUGCAGAAGAGGAGAGUGGAAUUCCACGUGUAGCGGUGAAAUGCGUAGAGAUGUGGAGGAACACCAGUGGCGAAGGCGACUCUCUGGUCUGUAACUGACGCUGAGGAGCGAAAGCGUGGGGAGCAAACAGGAUUAGAUACCCGGGUAGUCCCUGUCUCUUAUAC
rnacentral:rRNA from 1 species